AGCAGCCGCGGUAAUUCCAGCUCCAAUAGCGUAUAUUAAAGUUGUUGCAGUUAAAAAGCUCGUAGUUGAAUUUCGGGAUCAGCGCGUCGGUCGUGCCUCCGGUAUGCACUGGCGCCGCUGGUUUCUCCCUUCUGAGGAACCGUGAUGUCAUUAAUUUGGUGUUGCGGGAAAUCAGGACUGUUACUUUGAAAAAUUAGAGUGUUUAAAGCGGGCACGCGCUUGAAUACAUUAGCAUGGAAUAACGAAAUAGGACGUUCGAUCUUAUUUUGUUGGUUUCUAGGAUUGACGUAAUGAUUAAUAGGGAUAGUUGGGGGCAUUAGUAUUCAAUUGUCAGAGGUGAAAUUCUUGGAUUUAUUGAAGACUAACUACUGCGAAAGCAUUUGCCAAGGAUGUUUUCAUUAAUCAAGAACGAAAGUUAGGGGAUCGAAGACGAUCAGAUACCGUCGUAGUCUUAACCAUAAACUAUGCCGACUAGGGAUCGGAUGAUGUUAAUUUUUUAAUGUACUCAUUCGGCGCCUUA
rnacentral:rRNA from 1 species